UGCAAGUCGAACGAAAUAUGGCAACAUAUUUAGUGGCAAACGGGUGAGUAAUGCGUAGGAACAUGCCUGUAGGUACGGAAUAACCACUGGAAACGGUGGCUAAUACCGUAUAUUCCCUAAGGGGGAAAGAUUUAUCGCCUACAGAGUGGCCUGCGUCAGAUUAGGUAGUUGGUGGGGUAAUAGCCUACCAAGCCUGCGAUCUGUAACUGGUCUGAGAGGAUGAUCAGUCACACUAGGACUUAGACACGGCCUAGACUCCUACGGGAGGCAGCAGUGAGGAAUUUUGGACAAUGGGGGCAACCCUGAUCCAGCAAUACCACGUGAGUGAAGAAAGCCUUCGGGUUGUAAAGCUCUUUUAAUGGGAAAGAUUAUGACGGUACCCAUAGAAUAAGCACCGGCUAACUCUGUGCCAGCAGCCGCGGUAAGACAGAGGGUGCAAGCGUUGUUCGGAUUUACUGGGCGUAAAGGGCGCGUAGGCGUAUUUGUAAGUCAGUUGUGAAAGACCGGGGCUCAACCCCGGAACUGCAGCCGAUACUGCAAGUAUAGAGAUAGUAAGAGGAAAGCGGAAUUCCUAGUGUAGAGGUAAAAUUCACAGAUAUUAGGAGGAACACCAAAGGCGAAGGCAGCUUUCUGGGACAUAUCUGACGUUAAAGCGCGAAAGUGUGGGUAGCAAACAGGAUUAGAUACCCUGGUAGUCCACACCCUAAACGAUGAGUGCUAGGUGUCAGGAAAUCAUUCUUGGUGCCCAAGCUAACGCAUUAAGCACUCCGCCUGGGGAGUACGGUCGCAAGAUUAAAACUUAAAGGAAUUGACGGGGACCCGCACAAGCGGUGGAGCAUGUGGUUUUAAUUCGAUGG
rnacentral:rRNA from 1 species